rnacentral:rRNA from 1 species
UACGAAGGUCCCAAGUGUUGUUCGGAAUCACUGGGCGUAAAGGGAGCGUAGGCGGCGCGGUAAGUCAGAUGUGAAAUCCCGGGGCUCAACCCCGGAACUGCAUCCGAUACUGCCGUGCUCGAGGAUUGGAGAGGUAGCUGGAAUUCUUGGUGUAGCAGUGAAAUGCGUGGAUAUCAAGAGGAACACUCGUGGCGAAAGCGAGCUACUGGACAACUCCUGACGCUGAGGCUCGAAGGCCAGGGGAGCGAAAGGG